rnacentral:rRNA from 1 species
UACGGAGGGAGCUAGCGUUGUUCGGAAUUACUGGGCGUAAAGCGUGCGUAGACGGUCAUGUAAGUCGGGUGUGAAAGCCCCGGGCUCAACCUGGGAAUUGCAUUCGAGACUGCAUGGCUAGGAUGCGGAAGAGGGAAGCGGAAUUUCCGGUGUAGCGGUGAAAUGCGUAGAGAUGCGGAGGAACACCGAUGGCGAAGGCAGCCCCCUGGGCUAGCACUGACGCUCAGGCACGAAAGCGUGGGGAGCAAACAGG